rnacentral:rRNA from 1 species
CUACGGAGGGUGCAAGCGUUAUUCGGAAUCACUGGGCGUAAAGGACGCGUAGGCGGGUUGGCAAGUCAGAUGUGAAAUCCUACAGCUUAACUGUAGAACUGCAUUUGAAACUGCUAACCUAGAGUCUGGGAGGGGGAGAUGGAAUUAGUGGUGUAGGGGUAAAAUCCGUAGAUAUCACUAGGAAUACCGAAAGCGAAGGCGAUCUCCUGGAACAUAACUGACGCUAAGGCGUGAAAGCGUGGGGAGCAAACAGGAUUAGAAACCCCAGUAGUCC